UACGAAGGGGGCUAGCGUUGUUCGGAAUCACUGGGCGUAAAGCGCACGUAGGCAGACUCUUAAGUCGGGGGUGAAAUCCUGGAGCUCAACUCCAGAACUGCCUUUGAUACUGAAGAUCUUGAGUUCGGGAGAGGUGAGUGGAACUGCGAGUGUAGAGGUGAAAUUCGUAGAUAUUCGCAAGAACACCAGUGGCGAAGGCGGCUCACUGGCCCGAUACUGACGCUAAGGCACGAAAGCGAUGGGGAGCCAAAC
rnacentral:rRNA from 1 species